UUCCUGGUGGUCCAGUGGUUCAGGCUCUGCACUUCCACUGCAGGGGGCGCAGGUUUGAUUCCUGGUCAGGGAA
rfam:TPA: Bos taurus chromosome 27, whole genome shotgun sequence.